UACGGGGGGGGGCAAGCGUUGUUCGGAAUUACUGGGCGUAAAGGGCUCGUAGGCGGCCAACUAAGUCGACCGUGAAAUCCCCGGGCUCAACCCGGGAACUGCGUCCGAUACUGGCAGGCUUGAAUCCGGGAGAGGGAUGCGGAAUUCCAGGUGUAGCGGUGAAAUUCGUAGAUAUCGGAAGGAACGCCGGUGGCGAAAGCGACGCGCUGGACCUCUUCUGACGCUGAGGCGCGAAAGCCAGGGGAGCAAACGGG
rnacentral:rRNA from 1 species